AGGAGGAGGAGGAGGAGGAGGAGGAGAUUGUUUGAAGGAUUACCAGCUGAUAACAAUGGAGUAGCCUUGGAGCCGUGGCCUUAAGAUACAAAAGAACGAUGAUGACCAGUGGGAAUGGAACCCCUAGGCAAGUCUAAUUCUUGGCUUUUAAUUAUCCUCUCCUUUUUCGUUUCUUCUUGUUUUUUCCAUGUUUGGUUGCCACGAAAAUGGAAGAGAGUGCAAAUAAUAAAACAUAUAUGGAAUCUUUACUCCCGAUUAGAUUCCAGUAUUUCAUUUCCUGAAGUUGUUAUCUUACGUCUUUCGGGCGACCAAACAAAUUCUCUCCCACUUUCUCAGUGCUUCUGUAUCCUUAAACACCGAAAAGGGAACCAUUAAUUAAUCAUUUUAGAGCAUAGAUCUUUACCUUAUUUCUUAAUCGUUGUUGCCGUACAAUAUUUAAAAUUGCAGACUUCGCAGCUCAGCUUGGUUUUUGUCGUUCAAUCACUCAUCUAUUACUUUAUGUGCUUGCACCUGUUCAUCCACUGUUGUUAACAGUAGCUAGCAACAAACCUACUACUGCAUAGAAAUUGUCUCAAACGAGUUAGUGAACAGCAGUUCAAACUCCAAACACAUACGAGUUAAAUAGGUUAUGAAAAUGCUAGCUAGGGUUCAUCACAAGGAACACAGUUUCAGUUAAAGAACUCAUGAAGGAACAAGAGCACAUGAUUGGUUAUUGUAGGUAGACAUUAUUGGCAUGGACCAUGUAUGUCGCCAUAUACAUGGUGCUUUCAGAAAUUAAAUUGCCAGACAUUAGCUGUCCUUCAUGAUUGUCACCAGCGUGGAAUUACAGGUACAAGGGAAAUGUCAAAGCAUUUAUAGUGACACGGUGACAUCUCCACCAUGCUCACGCAACAUUGGAGCCUGUCUACCUCGAAGAAGUCUUAAUUAGUGCAUGCAAAUCUAGGAAAGUUUCAAAUAAAACUAUGGAACAC
rnacentral:lncRNA from 1 species